rnacentral:piRNA from 1 species
UCACACGGUGCUGAUACGUAUAUAUGUGA